CUGAAUUGUUGACUCCAAUUCUCUGCCUCUUCCUCUUGACCUUGGGGAGUGGUACCAGCUGAAAGCUCUCAAGCCCGCAAGACUGAGUCUCCUUGCAAAUGGUUUGACCAGCCCGCUGGGUGCUCCCGGGCCUUCCAUUCAUCUUACUUAGAAGUCAUUUGGCUUGUUUGUUGAACAGGCAUUUUAAUACUGAGUUCUCCCUCGGGCUCUGCAGGGAAAAUCAGUGAUGAACUGUGAGCCAUGGGACACGCAUGGCGUGUGCAUGGCCUCACAGCUGAGUCGCUGUCUGCACCGCAUGAUUUAAGCUUUACUGUAAGAGCACGGUUGGCCCCAAAUAUUUCUUCUGCCUGAGUGUCACGGCCCUGAACUCCUCUCCAGCCUGGUAGUCACCGUUUUGACUUGUGGAAUUUUCCACAACCAGUUUCGAAUCUCAGGGUGGGCUGCCGAUCACUAGAUUCCCCUCAGCUGUCACUUCUCGCUCCCCACACACAACCUCUCCUCAUCAGGCUCAGGGUUGCAAACUAACUGAGCAGUUCAAGGAAAGCUUCUUUGGGAAGAACAUCCGAUAGGGAAGCAGAACACACGCGUACCAAAUCAAACCUAUGUUUCUUUUAGAGAAUCUGAAGAGAUGGAGCUCCCGUGACUCCCUGGGCGUGGAGACUGCAGUUGCUGAGUCUUCCAAGAAGCACGAGGGAGCCAAGGAGCUUGUGUCCAUGGUCUUAGUAAGGUGGGCGCCACAUGGGAAUAGCAAGAGAAGCAUCUUUCUUUCGUGCCAUCCCCUCCACUCUUCUGUGACAAAGACCAACAUGGCAGUGCAGCUAUUGCCUGAAAGCUGUCAAAAUCCCACUGGCAAACCCCUGAUGGAUCACUUCACAGCAAGGGACCUGGGGGGAGAGACCCUACAGUUUCCUUUUCCCAGGCUUUGUUCUAAUGUCAUCUUUGUCCCAUCUUACUAGUUCUUCCCUUUCUUCCUAAUCACAAUUUCUUUUAUCAUGGCUGAGCGUACUUUUCCACUGCAAAAGCAAGCCAGGGAACUUGCUUCAGAUGACAGAGCAAAGGUCUGCACAAUGGAAAAAAAAAGCAAACCAAGGGCUGUAUGUAUGCAUGUGAGCAAAGCUGCCUCCACUCCCAAUUCAUUGCACAAUAGCUGCACAACUCGUACACCUGGGGGGUGAUCCUUUACUGCCAUCAUGAUUGUUCCUAGUUAGGUCACUGCCACCCACUCUCCUAAUGUGGGCAGCACGCCACUCUGAGAGGCAGUGCAAAGAACGCGGGCCCCCACAGUCCAUCCGACUCACCUUUGAAGUCCGGGCUCUGUUACUCAUUAGCAGACAAGUCAUUAGGCUUCUCUGAGGCUUAAUUUUCUGAUCCCUAAAGUGAAGAUAAAGGUCCCCACCUUCCUGGGUUGCCUUAAGGAUUAUGUUCAGGGUGCCAGGCACAUAAGUUCUCAAAAAAUGAGCUAUUCCAGUGUUCAGAGUCUUACACUGUGAUGGGGAAGAAAAUGGUGAAUCAGAUUUGUUUCUUUUUGGGGGAGCCUAAACAAGAAGGAAGAGCUGGUAAAUUUUUGGAUUAAUGGUUUCCCGGUCUAGAUAAGACUAUAUAGCUUGAAUAUUUGGACAACAGAUCUCCACGUUAGCAGCAUCCUUGAUACCUAACAAGUGCCACGUGUUUUAUGAACGUCAUUCUCCCUAACGCUCCUGUGUUCGCCCAGUGCGGAGACAAAGGUCUCUUCUUGCCAAAUUAACAAAUAUAGUCCUGUGUCCCUCAGCUGCUGCUAUCGUCCUUGCCAAUGUUUCAAGCCACAAAAAGAAAACAACCCACACACACCUUGCCAAGGCUUAUAAAAACUGUACAGUAGUUGCAGAAAGUUUCCAAGCAAGAAAUUUCUCCAUAACUUAAAUUAUUUGUGGGCUUUUUUUUUUUUCAAAUAGAAAAUAUGUUCCUCGCUGGAACCAAUUCCCAUGUUAAGCGUCUGCCUUCAUCACUCAUUUUUAUUACCAGUCUAAACACAGACUGUUUGAAUGGAGGCCAUUUACAGCGUACAAUAAAAAGGAUUCAUUACUCA
rnacentral:lncRNA from 1 species